rnacentral:lncRNA from 1 species
CACCUUACUACUAUAAGUCUCCACCUCCACCUUCACCAUCACCACCUCCACCUUACUACUACAAGUCUCCUCCACCACCUUCACCAUCACCUCCACCACCAUACUACUACUCUUCCCCACCACCACCCAAGAAAUCACCUCCUCCACCAUACUACUACUCCUCUCCUCCACCACCCAAGAAGUCACCUCCACCUCCAUACUACUACAGUUCUCCACCACCACCAGUUAAGUCUCCUCCUCCGCCAUACUAUUACUCCUCACCACCACCACCCAAAAAGUCACCUCCGCCACCAUACUACUACUCCUCACCACCACCACCUAAGAAGUCUCCUCCACCAUACUACUACCACUCCCCUCCACCACCAGUUAAGUCUCCUCCUCCUCCAUACUACUACCACUCCCCUCCACCACCAGUUAAGUCUCCUCCUCCUCCUCCAUACUACUACACUUCCCCUCCACCACCUACUCCUUACUAUCCUCCUCAUCAUCCCUUGAUCGUUAAGGUUGUCGGAAAAGUCUAUUGCUACAGAUGCUACGACUGGAAAUAUCCAAAGAAAUCCCAUGACAAGAAGCACCUUAAAGGUAUACUAUUUUUCUCUGCCACAUUUUCUCUUACAUUAUUCUUGUUCUGUUUAAUAUUUCUUCAUAACUAUAUAUAUUUAUCUCAAGUAUGUGGUUCCUUCUUGCUUUAAAGAUUUAGCUCAAAAUUUGAAAAAUCUUGGCUCUAUUAUAAUUCCCUACAAAAAGAUGCGAAAGAAAAGAAAGUUGAUAAAUGCACUAAAGAUGAUUAUCAAAAAAUGCUUUAAAAACUAUUGAAUAAUUUUUUUUACAACUGAAUAUAUGAUGAAAAGAACANACUACAAAUCACCACCCCCUCCUUCUCCUUCUCCACCACCACCUUACUACUACAAGUCUCCACCACCUCCAUCACCAUCUCCUCCACCACCAUACUACUAUAAAUCACCUCCUCCACCCUCUCCAUCACCUCCUCCACCAUAUUACUACAAGUCCCCACCACCUCCAUCACCUUCACCCCCACCACCUUACUACUAUAAGUCUCCACCUCCACCUUCACCAUCACCACCUCCACCUUACUACUACAAGUCUCCUCCACCACCUUCACCAUCACCUCCACCACCAUACUACUACUCUUCCCCACCACCACCCAAGAAAUCACCUCCUCCACCAUACUACUACUCCUCUCCUCCACCACCCAAGAAGUCACCUCCACCUCCAUACUACUACAGUUCUCCACCACCACCAGUUAAGUCUCCUCCUCC